CCUGGUGGCUCAGACGGUAAAGCAUCUGCUUACAAUGCGGGAGACCAGGGUUCAAUCCCUGGGUCAGGA
rnacentral:tRNA from 1 species